ACUGGGUAAAAGGAACUGUUGUAAAUAGGCCUUUAGUCAUGUGGUGACAAGGCACAGCAAGAGGGGAAACAGUCUAUAGCCCCAUGAUUAGAUCACAGUCUUUUAGUGAGACUGUGCUCCUGGGCUGUGACCUUCACACAUGAUUCCUCCAUUUCCCCUUAGGUGGGACAGGGUGGGUAUAGUGGGCUGGAAUUGUUAUUUCUCCUCCUCCAUGUGGAAGGCUAAAACUGGGUUUUUCCCUUCCCCUAUUGAUAGGCUCUCUGCCGGUUAAAUUUAAAGUUUCUCUUGAAGGCAGAUCUUGUUAAGAAUAGACUGCUUUGGCACAUUUGUAAAUUGUUCCUUUUACCCUGCCCUGCCAGAAGCAGGAGGGGAUUUUUCUCUGAUGUUUACUAUGCAAAACUGGUAGAGCUCCAGGAGGUAAAGGGCACAAAAGUACACUACCCACCCAUAACUGGGUCCUCUGGUGUUUUUUUUUCCCCUCAGAUUUGUCCACAGUGAGCCUCCAGCAAUUCCUCACAGUUUGGGUUUCCCUCUAGUGGCACUGGUUCCUGAAGGGGUUUCUGCUUGUGGCCUUCUGUUCUGUAUCUGCCUAUCAUUCUUCCCAAUUUUGGGGCAGUGGUGUGUCCUGUAACCUGACUUAUCUCACAGAUCUAAGAAGAGUUGUUAAUUUUUCAUUUUGUUCAGCUUUUACUUGUUAGAAUAUAGAGGCCACUUCCACAUUUCUUACAUUCUAGACUGGAAACACAUCAACUUCAUUUUUAAUGGAAGAAUUAAAAUUCUAAUAUUCCCUGGGCAGGAAACACAAAGUAUUUGCAGGGCAGAGUGUUUGCCUUCUUCCUGGCGAUGGUGUGUCUAUCUUUCCUCCACACCUGUUGAAAAUUUUUUCAUCACAUCAUAGCAUUUAUAAAAGCUAAUCUGUAUUUAGCACAUAUACCUACACAGUUUCUUUGACUUUCUGAUUGCUCUGAUUUCCCCACCAGAAUGGAGGCUGUGAUCUAGAGGUGACCCAGCCCCAGCAGAGGGGCAUCACUAAGGAGUACUAGACAACAGCCAGAUCAACAGGAGCCCUCGUGACUCAGAGGACCUCUGUGGCUACAGGCACCUCUUUCAUGAGCAGAAAUGGUGCAAAUGUGACCUCUACUGACUGAAGGAAGAAACUACAGUCCCCUCCUUCCAGCACUGGGAAACGACCAACAAGGAAGGUUGGACAGGCACAGAACAGAGCCUGAGGUGGGUGAUGAGUACAUGCUGGUGGUUACCCUCCCCGCCAGGGGAGCAACUAAGGAGCCAAGGCCCGGAGGCCCUGCAAGGCACUGCUGGGGGCCGCCAGGGGGCCGCACCUGGGAAGACGAAGAUGAAGCAGGCAGCCAGGCCUCCGAUGACUGAGAUGACCUUGCCGAUGUCAGGGAUGAAGAGCGCCAGCAGCAGGGUCAGCAGGAACCAGACCAGUGUCUGCAGCACUCGCCGCCGCUGCUCCCGCGCCACAUCCUCCUCCACUGGCGUCCCCUGGUAGCGCAGCCACAGGCCUUCGACCACCGCCCUGCCCAAUGGAGAGGCGCUCAGUCACCCCUGCUAAGCCCACCUCCAGCUUGCAAAACCAGAGCCCUGGCUUGGUGGAUGAUGGGUCCUGUCUCAGAGCGUCUGCACCGAUGUUUCAUCUCUCUCAGCUCACAUGUCCCCUCCUCAGAGAAUGCUUCCCUACCCAGCCCAUCCCAACAACCUCCACCCCCAUUUUAUUUCUUCAUAGCCCUCCUCCCUCGCUGUUUUUUUUUUUUUUUUUAUUCUUUCACUUGUUUAUUUUCUGUAACCAGAACAUAAAUCCCAGGAGAAGAGAAACUCUGCCUAUCUGCCUCUCUUGUUCCUGGCUAUGUGUUCACAGGCAGAACUGUGCCAGUCCAGAGAACCACCUACAGAAGAAAG